rnacentral:rRNA from 1 species
GGACUACUGGGGUAUCUAAUCCCAUUCGCUCCCCUAGCUUUCGUUCCUCAGCGUCAGUAACAGCCCAGCGAGUCGCUUGCGCCACCGGUGUUCUUCCCAAUAUCUACGCAUUUCACCGCUACACUGGGAAUUCCACUCGCCUCUACUGCACUCGAGUCUGCCAGUAUCCAAUGCACUCCCGGAGUUGAGCCCCGAUCUUUAACACCAGACUUAACAAACCGCCUACGAACUCUUUACGCCCAAUAAAUCCGGACAACGCUCGCAUCCUACGUCUUACCGCGGCUGCUGGCAC